GGGGGCGUUUUGGAUUCGACGGGGGCAAGAUGGGUAAGAGUAGCGAGUCCGGGACCAUGGCCCGGUCAAGAACAUGGAAGGCAUAUAACUGCCAACGAUAAUUACGCUCUCGCUGCUUAAUUAAAAGCAGCGUGUCCGCCGGUUCUGAGCCUGUAGGAUCCGGUUGGGCAUCGACUUCGCAGGCUACCGACUCCACGGUUGGCACAGCCAAAGGGGAAGGGAAUCACAAUUGUGCUAGUAUAGACGCAUCCUGCCUCAAGGAGUCGUCUGUAUGAAAGUAAAAUUGAGGCUACGCUCGUAGAGACUCUUGCUGGUCUGCUUUCGGACAGGGGUUCGACUCCCCUCGCCUCCACCA
rnacentral:tmRNA from 1 species